rnacentral:rRNA from 1 species
GCGGCGAACGGGUGCGUAACACGUGGAUAAUCUGCCUUUCGGUGGGGGAUAACGGCUGGAAACGGCCGCUAAUACCGCAUGUGGUUGCGAGGUCUUCGGGCCUUGCAAAGAAAGAGGCCUUUAAAGCCUUGCCGAGAGAUGAGUCCCGCCCGGGGCCCCCCCCAAUUAGCUAGUUGGCGGGAUAACAGCCACCAAGGCUUCGAUGGGUAGCCGAGCUGAGAGGUUGAUCGGCACACUGGGACUGAGACACGGCCCAGACACCUACGGGUGGCAGCAGUAGGAAUAUUGGACAAUGGGGGAAACCCUGAUCCAGCGAUGCCGCGUGAAUGAUGAAGGCCUUCGGGUCGUAAAGUUCUUUUCUGAGGGAAGAACUGUUGGGCGAGGAAAUGCGCCUGAUUUGACGGUACCUCAGGAAUAAGCAACGGCUAACUCCGUGCCAGCAGCCGCGGUAAUACGGAGGUUGCAAGCGUUGUUCGGAAUAACUGGGCGUAAAGGGAGCGCAGGCGGCUUGGUAAGUCUAAAGUGAAAUUCCAGGGGCUCAACCCUGGACGUGCUUUGGAUACUGCCUGGCUUGAGUACGUGAGAGGACGAUUGGAAUUC